AUACGUAGGGGGCGAGCGUUAUCCGGAAUUAUUGGGCGUAAAGAGUGCGUAGGUGGCUGUUUAAGCGUGGGGUGAAAGGCAAUGGCUUAACCAUUGUAAGCCUCGCGAACUGGAUAGCUUGAGUGCAGGAGAGGAAAGCGGAAUUCCUAGUGUAGCGGUGAAAUGCGUAGAUAUUAGGAGGAACACCAGUGGCGAAGGCGGCUUUCUGGACUGUAACUGACACUGAGGCACGAAAGCGUGGGGAGCAAACAGGAUUAGAUACCCUGGUAGUCCACGCCGUAAACGAUGAGCACUAGGUGUCGGGGUCGCAAGGCUUCGGUGCCGCAGUUAACGCAUUAAGUGCUCCGCCUGGGGAGUACGCACGCAAGUGUGAA
rnacentral:rRNA from 1 species